CAAGAUUGCACAUCAACCCCUGUAAGCAUGGCGAACUGGGACCACUGUCAUGAACUCAGCUAAUGGGUCAUAAAAAAGAUCUGAAAAACACGGAGCAAGCCUGAUGAAGGAACACCAAGCACGCUUCCUUGUCUUUCUGAAUUCCUCGUCUGAUGCCAAGGUUUGUUCACAAAGAGAUGAUAAACAACUGGACUUUUUAAGACUGCAUGGAUAACUAUCUGCAUUAGCAAUGCUAUGCGGUGACCAGAAGGAUCUCAGAAUAACCAUUGCUCCAAAACAUACAGGUCAGUACA